rnacentral:rRNA from 1 species
GAUGAACGCUAGCUACAGGCUUAACACAUGCAAGUCGAGGGGAAACGACAUCGAAAGCUUGCUUUUGAUGGGCGUCGACCGGCGCACGGGUGAGUAACGCGUAUCCAACCUGCCCAUCACUUGGGGAUAACCUUGCGAAAGUAAGACUAAUACCCAAUGAUAUCUCUAGAAGACAUCAGAAGGAGAUUAAAGAUUGAUCGGUGAUGGAUGGGGAUGCGUCGGAUUAGCUUGUUGGCGGGGUAACGGCCCACCAAGGCGACGAUCAGUAGGGGUUCUGAGAGGAAGGUCCCCCACAUUGGAACUGAGACACGGUCCAAACUCCUACGGGAGGCAGCAGUGAGGAAUAUUGGUCAAUGGGCGAGAGUCUGAACCAGCCAAGUAGCGUGCAGGAUGACGGCCCUAUGGGUUGUAAACUGCUUUUAUAAGGGAAUAAAGUGAGAGUCGUGACUCUUUUUGCAUGUACCUUAUGAAUAAGGACCGGCCAAUUCCGUGCCAGCCGCCGCGGUAA